AGAGUUUGAUCAUGGCUCAGAACGAACGCUGGCGGCAUGCCUAACACAUGCAAGUCGAACGAAGUCUUCGGACUUAGUGGCGCACGGGUGAGUAACAUGUGGGAAUCUACCUAGAGGUUCGGAAUAACUACGGGAAACUGUAGCUAAUACCGGAUGUGUCUGCAAAGAGAAAGAUUUAUUGCCUUUAGAUGAGCCCGCACUAGAUUAGUUUGUUGGUAAGGUAAAAGCUUACCAAGACUACGAUCUAUAGCUGGUCUGAGAGGAUGAUCAGCCACACUGGGACUGAGACACGGCCCAGACUCCUACGGGAGGCAGCAGUGGGGAAUAUUGGACAAUGGGGGAAACCCUGAUCCAGCAAUGCCGCGUGAGUGAAGAAGGCCUUAGGGUUGUAAAACUCUUUCAUCAGUGAAGAUAAUGACGGUAACUGAAGAAGAAGCUCCGGCUAACUCCGUGCCAGCAGCCGCGGUAAUACGGAGGGGGCUAGCGUUGUUCGGAAUUACUGGGCGUAAAGCGCAUGUAGGCGGAUCAAAAAGUUAGAUGUGAAAUCCCUGGGCUUAACUUAGGAACUGCAUUUAAAACUAAUAACCUAGAAUUUGGUAGGGGAUAGUAGAAUUUCCAGUGUAGAGGUGAAAUUCGUAGAUAUUGGAAAGAACACCAGUGGCGAAGGCGGCUACCUGGCUCGAUAUUGACGCUGAGGUGCGAAAGCGUGGGUAGCGAACAGGAUUAGAUACCCUGGUAGUCCACGCAGUAAACGAUGAGUGCUAGUCGUUGGACCUUUUUGGUUCAGUGUCGUAGCUAACGCAUUAAGCUCUCCGCCUGGGGAGUACGGUCGCAAGAUUAAAACUCAAAUGAAUUGACGGGGGCCCGCACAAGCGGUGGAGCAUGUGGUUUAAUUCGAAGCAACGCGAAGAACCUUACCAGUCCUUGACAUGGUGUGUUUGAAUUACAGUAUCGUAAUUCUUCAGUUCGGCUGGCACACACACAGGUGCUGCAUGGCUGUCGUCAGCUCGUGUCGUGAGAUGUUGGGUUAAGUCCCGCAACGAGCGCAACCCUCAUUUUUAGUUGCCAUCAGGUUAAGCUGGGCACUCUAAAAAAACUGCCGGUGAUAAGCUGGAGGAAGGCGGGGAUGACGUCAAGUCCUCAUGGCCCUUACGGUCUGGGCUACACACGUGCUACAAUGGUGGUGACAGUGGGAAGCAAUUUCGCAAGAAAAAGCAAAUCCCCAAAAGCCAUCUCAGUUCGGAUUGGACUCUGCAACUCGAGUCCAUGAAGUUGGAAUCGCUAGUAAUCGUAGAUCAGCGUGCUACGGUGAAUACGUUCUCGGGCCUUGUACACACCGCCCGUCACGCCAUGGGAGUUGGUUUUACCUUAAGCCGGUGCGCUAACCGCAAGGAAGCAGCCGUCCACGGUAGGGUCAGCGACUGGGGCGAAGUCGUAACAAGGUAACC
rnacentral:rRNA from 1 species